rnacentral:misc_RNA from 1 species
CAGUGACAGAAAUUUGCGGAUCUUGAUGCAUUGAGACCAAAAUUGACUCCGUAUAAAACCAGAUUACAGAGAUGAUAAUGGAAAAGCAGAAUGAUAUGGCGCAGGACGCUUGCAGAUAAAUUCCCAACAUUCUAUACAAUUUAGCACCAAAGCCUUGGCCACAAAGUGUUUCAAGCGAUCCACUUAAACCUAUCAAGAAGGCAAAGCCAGUGACGCUGGCCCAGGAAUUGGCGAGAGUGGCGCCAGCAAGCUCAAGCUCACCAAGGUGGCCAGCAAACAUGACCGAAACUAAA